rnacentral:misc_RNA from 1 species
GAUGAAGAACGCAGCGAAAUGCGAUAAGUAGUGUGAAUUGCAGAAGUACCGUGAAUCAUCGAAUCUUUGAACGCAAAUUGCACUCUCUGGUAUUCCGGGGAGUAUGCCUGUUUGAGGGUCGCUUAACAAACCAUCGAUUUCGUUGCUUUUUUUUUAAAGUGAUGUUUAUCGGAUUUGAGCCGUCUUUUUUUUUAUAUUUAAGUGGCUUAAAAUUGAUUUUUUUGGUACGAUCGAAGCGUAUUUUUAUGAUCAAUUUUUGGUUAAAGAAACGCACACGUACCGUUAUUUAUAUGAUGUAAUACGUUUGACUAUUGGAUUUAGUUCAUUCGUAUACGAUAUCUUUCAAUAUUUGACCUCAAAUCAGGUAAGAACACCCGCUGAACUUAAGCAUAUCAAUAAGCGGAGGA